UUGCUUCAGCAGCAUGCAUACUAAAGUUGAGAUGACCUAGAGAAGAUUAGAAUGAUCCCUGCACAAGGACGACAUGCAAAUUCAUGAAGUGUUCCAUACUAUU